rnacentral:rRNA from 1 species
UACGUAGGGUGCAAGCGUUGUCCGGAAUUAUUGGGCGUAAAGAGCUCGUAGGCGGUCUGUCGCGUCGGCUGUGAAAUCCCGAGGCUCAACCUCGGGUCUGCAGUCGAUACGGGCAAACUAGAGUAUUGCAGGGGAGACUGGAAUUCCUGGUGUAGCGGUGAAAUGCGCAGAUAUCAGGAGGAACACCGGUGGCGAAGGCGGGUCUCUGGGCAAUAACUGACGCUGAGGCGCGAAAGCUAGGGGAGCAAACGGG